rnacentral:lncRNA from 1 species
UAAGUUUAGGUUUUGGAUACUUUCCAUUUUACUUAUCUUGUAAUCCUUAUAUAAAGGAAUCCCUUUGAUAAUUAAUAAUAACACAAAAAUAUUCAGUCUCUAAACUCUCUAAUUAUAACUGACUGAGAAUAUAUAUGAUUUGCGUCUAAGAUAUAUUCAACUUAUUGUCACAAAAAACUUAAUAAAAAAAAUAUAUACUUUGUUUUAAGGACAUUAAAAAUUACCUUAAAAAUUUUAACAUUUUAAAAAAAAAUAUGAAUCAAUAAUAUUAAUAUAAAAUUUUAUCCAAAAAACUCAGCACUAAAUAAAUGCAUAAACAAAAAAACAAACAAACCCUAAACCCUAUAAUCUUAAGCAUUAUUCUAAACCAAACCUUAAACCCAACCUAAACCAAACGCUAAACCAUUCUUACUACCUAAACCCUAAAUUCUACCUAACCCUAGACUCUACCUAAACCUAGACCUUAACCUAUCUAAUCCUAAACCCUACAUAAACCUAACCCUAAUCCCUAAACCCUUCAUACUACCUAAACCCUAAACCUACCUAACCCUAAACGCAAACCCUACCUAACCCUAAACCCUUCAUACUACCUAAACCCUAAACCUACCUAACCCUAAACGUAAACCCUACCUAACCCUAAACCCUACCUAACCCUAAACCCUUCCUAAUCCUAAAACCCUACCUAAAACCUAACCCUAAACCUAAACCCUACCUACCCUAAACUCUACCUAACCCUAAACCCUACCUAACCCUAACCCUACAUAACCCUAAACCCUACUAACCCUACCUAACAUAAACCCUACCUAACCUAAAACCUUUCUAACCCUAAACCCUUUCUAGCCCUAAAACCUACCUAACCCUAAACCCUACCUAACCCUAAACCCUAUCUAACCCUAAACCCUACCAAACCCUAAACCCUACCUAACCCUAAACCCUACCUACCCUAAACCCUACCUAACCCUAAACCCUACCUAACCCUAAACCCCUUCUAACCCUAAACCUGAC